rnacentral:rRNA from 1 species
GACGGAGGAUGCAAGUGUUAUCCGGAAUCACUGGGCGUAAAGGGUCUGUAGGUGGUUUUUUAAGUCUGCUGUUAAAAGCUUGAAGCUCAACUUCAAAAAUGCAUCGGAAACUAGAAGACUUGAGUAUGGUAGGGGUAGAGGGAAUUUCCAGUGAAGCGGUGAAAUGCGCAGAUAUCAGGAGGAACACCGGUGGCGAAGGCGGGGUCUCUGGGCCGAUGACUGACGCUGGAGGAGCGAAAGCGUGGGGAGCGAACAGG